rnacentral:tRNA from 1 species
GGGGCCUUAGCUCAGUUGGCAGAGCGCCUGCCUUGCAUGCAGGAGGUCAGGAGUUCGAUUCUCCUAGGCUCCA